rnacentral:miRNA from 1 species
UGAGGCAGGGGAAUCGCUUGAACCCAGGAAGUGGAGGCUGCAGUGAGCCAAGAUCGUGCCACUGCACUCCAGCCUGGGUGACAGAGCGAGACUCUAUCUC